rnacentral:rRNA from 1 species
UACAGAGGUCCCAAGCGUUGUUCGGAUUCAUUGGGCGUAAAGCGUGCGCAGGCGGUUUUGUAAGCCAGAUGUGAAAUCCCCGGGCUUAACCUGGGAAUGGCAUUUGGGACUGCAAGGCUGGAGUGCGGCAGAGGAGACUGGAAUUCCUGGUGUAGCAGUGAAAUGCGUAGAUAUCAGGAGGAACACCGAUGGCGAAGGCAGGUCUCUGGGCUGACACUGACGCUCAUGCACGAAAGCGUGGGGAGCAAACAGG